rnacentral:ncRNA from 1 species
UUUGGCACUCUCUCCUAGAGUGCCCGCACAUCACGAGUGAUCCUGAGUGACGGGAAGAGGGUGCAAAUCCCUCGCGGUCCCGCCGCUGUAAAUGGGGACGAACCCCGCGGAUGCCACUGUCUUAGAGACAGUGAUGAGUGAUCAGUGACGAGUGAUGAGUUGGGAGCUUGGAUUUCCACUCAUCACCUAUCACACAUCACCCAUCACUGCUCAGCAAGCAAGAUGGGAAGGCGCGGGUAGUAGAUCGGUGGUCGUUCCGCCGGUCCCCUGAGCCAGAAGACCUCCUCAGGAUCGUACGGACUC